UUUAUUAUAGCAGUAUGACUUAACUGUCUGCCUUCAUGUAGUCGAAUAGUAGACUUAUAAUGCAUAAUACAUUCUUAUUUCAGAGCUAGGGCACAGCAGCAUGGCCAUUUCAAUAAGGACGUGAUACUACUCCCCAAUCCAUCAUUGGAUGUAGUGUGCAAACAACGUCCAAAAGUACGGUUACACAAACAUGGACAUAUCCUCAGUGCCUUUGAAUUCCAGAAGGCCUGGGACCACCGGACUGUUAUUGAUCGUAUCAGACAUGGCUUUGGUGAGCAUAUUCCGGAGGACGUCAGCCUCCAGCUUGUAAUGUCUUGUGGCAAUAAGUUGGUGUCCCCUAAGAUCCAGGAGGGUCAGGAGCUGAAUGGGAUGCUAAUCCACAAGGUUUUUAAAACCAAAGCCCUGUAUGUAAGACCAUCAAGGACCCUUUUAACUGACUCAGAGGAGGAAAGUGAACUUUCUACCACUGACAGAUCAACUGCUAAGGACAGUGAUGAGGAUUGUUGUGAAAUCCU